rnacentral:misc_RNA from 1 species
CGGGCGUCCUCACAAAUUACCUGCAUUCAGAGAUUCAUACCGGCACAGGUCGGUAUGCGAAGUCCCUUUUGGGGCCUUAGCUCAGCUGGGAGAGCACCUGCUUUGCAAGCAGGGGGUCGUCGGUUCGAUCCCGACAGGCUCCACCAUAUUGAGUGAAAAGACUUCGGGUCUGUAGCUCAGGUGGUUAGAGCGCACCCCUGAUAAGGGUGAGGUCGGUAGUUCGAGUCUACCCAGACCCACCACUCUGAAUGUAGUGCACACUUAAGAAUUUAUACGGAUCAGCGUUGAGGCUGGUACGUGUUCUUUUAUAACUUGUGACGUAGCGAGCGUUUGAGAUAUCUAUCUAAACGUGUCGUUGAGGCUAAGGCGGGGACUUCGAGUCCCUAAGUAAAUUGAGUCGUAUGUUCGCGUUGGUGGCUUUUUACCCCACACAACACGGCAUGUGACCCUGAGGCAACUUGGGGUUAUAUGGUCAAGCGAAUAAGCGCACACGGUGGAUGCCUAGGCGGUCAGAGGCGAUGAAGGACGUGGUAGCCUGCGAAAAGUGUCGGGGAGCUG